CAUCAUAAAGAAAUAAUUAAAUACAAUUAAACACCCGCUCUCCUGAAUGUAUUUUUUUUACUGUGUGUCUGACUUACUGUUUAGGACAAUUAUUUUUCAUACCUUAUUGGUAAUAUGAUUUUUUGGUUAUAAAGUUUGAUGAAAAUGGGAUCGCUCCCGGUUCGGUUCCUAACCUUUGUCCACCAUCCCUCAAGCAUAUGAAGUUGUCAUGGAGGAUGGAAAGUUUUUCUACAAGCAAUCAGGAGAACUCCUAACACCUUUGCAACAUACGAG
rnacentral:lncRNA from 1 species